GACGAACGCUGGCGGCGUGCUUAACACAUGCAAGUCGAACGAAGAGCGAUGGAAGCUUGCUUCUAUCAAUCUUAGUGGCGAACGGGUGAGUAACGCGUAAUCAACCUGCCCUUCAGAGGGGGACAACAGUUGGAAACGACUGCUAAUACCGCAUACGAUCUGACCUCGGCAUCGAGGAUAGAUGAAAGGUGGCCUCUAUUUAUAAGCUAUCACUGAAGGAGGGGAUUGCGUCUGGUUAGCUAGUUGGAGGGGUAACGGCCCACCAAGGCGAUGAUCAGUAGCCGGUCUGAGAGGAUGAACGGCCACAUUGGGACUGAGACACGGCCCAGACUCCUACGGGAGGCAGCAGUGGGGAAUCUUCCGCAAUGGACGAAAGUCUGACGGAGCAACGCCGCGUGAGUGAUGACGGCCUUCGGGUUGUAAAGCUCUGUUAAUCGGGACGAAAGGCCUUCUUGCGAAUAGUUAGAAGG
rnacentral:rRNA from 1 species